rnacentral:rRNA from 1 species
CUACGGAGGAUGCGAGCGUUAUCCGGAUUUAUUGGGUUUAAAGGGUGCGUAGGCGGAAAGUUAAGUCAGCGGUGAAACGCAGGUGCUCAACACCUGACCUGCCGUUGAGACUGGUUUUCUAGAAUGCGGAUGCUGUGGGAGGAAUGUGUGGUGUAGCGGUGAAAUGCAUAGAUAUCACACAGAACACCGAUUGCGAAGGCAUCUCACAAAGCCGCGAUUGACGCUGAGGCACGAAGGUGCGGGGAUCGAACAGGAUUAGAUACCCUGGUAGUCCGCACAGUAAACGAUGAUAACUCGCUGUCGGCGAUAGACAGUCGGUGGCCAAGCGAAAGCGAUAAGUUAUCCACCUGGGGAGUACGUCGGCAACGAUGAAACUUAAAUGAAUUGGCGGGG